GACUGUUGAACGUCUAAACUAUGUAGAAAGUAUGUUGAAAUUAUAAUGGACUUAUACGUGUUCAAAUGACGACCAUCUCUCCCGAUGUUGCCCUCAAGACUAAAUGAUUGCCCACCCCUGCUGUACAACAUGACCUGUUGUGCCAGGGACGUGAUUGGUCGGUGUGUUGAUGAAAGCUCAGCCCAUUGGUCCUGUGUCUCCUGUGCAGUGACAGUGGCAGUGACAGUAUGAUGAGAGGCAAAUAAGGCCAGUAUUGUUAAUGCUAUACAUACAGCGCUCAUCAGAUUUUGUCUAAUAUAGUUAGUUAAUAGUUUCUAAUAUAGCCUGCCUGACAUAAAACAUGUAAACGUGUAAAUUAUAACGUAAAGAAGAAUGCAGUACUUUACUUUCCCCGUACGUACCUGCGACGUAACCAGACCAGAAGCUCCCCUCCUCCCUGAGAUCGUUUGUUCUCUCAAGGAUGUCCCUCUCUCAGACAUGGUUCCUUAUAGAAAGCCCAGACUCGGGGCUGGAGCCAGUUUUGAUACCAAGACUGCAGUAGAGGGGCGGUAAAAAAGUCCACCCACAUAACAUCAGGACCCUCUGAAGACAGACUGACAGUAUUAUUGUACACAGUUGCUUUGAUCGGUAUUACCAUACAAACUUUUCCAUCAUCUGGUAUGUCAUUCUGAUGAGUUUAUUAGCAAGGUUGAUUGACCAGUACAGAUGCAAUAUUUGCUCCAGACAGAGAGACAGAGUCAGACUGUAGUUUACUGUUAGUUUACUUUCUCCGUGAGAUCUUUCAAUCUAUUGUUUGCAAUGUUUUCAGUGGUAUUUGUUUUUGGGAAGCUCUACUCUCUAUCUGUCAAGAGAUGAUCUGAUAUGAUAGGAGGAGUUUUUUGCUUUUAGACACUUAAAUUGCCUUAGUGGUGAAUAUUCACUUACUCAAUGUGUUGCUAAAUAUUUUGAGAAUUAGACACAUUUUUUGUUUAGUUCUCUGAGGGUUGACUGAAACCAAAACAGUCUGCUUAUCCACUGGAAACUGCCAGCUAUUACUAUGAGUCAUAUUCAUGUUGUAAGUUAGGUUUCAUUACUAAAUUAUGGGCCAAAUACAACUUUGAAAAGCCAAACAGACAAACUUUUCAAGUUAUUUUUGUUGGUCAGAGUUGGUUUUAUUGGUCUUUUGGUAGAUUACUGUUCUAAUACUCAUUUUGUUCAAGUUUCCUAUCAGUUCUGCACCUGUGGUUAUUAUUAUGAUCCGUUUCUCUAACUGACAGUUUGGAAUAUCUAUUUCUUAAAAAAGCUUGGAUUAUAUAUAUUUUUUUAAUUAUGGUAAUAACCAAAAUCAGUUCACUUUAAGUGUGUGAGAUUAGUCAUGGCUACAAAAAAUGUGUCAUGUGCUCUGGUGUUCAGAAUGUGAAUCUGAUAAUAUGUUGUGAUAAUUGACCACUAGAUGGCGAUAUUUAACAGAAUAUCAAGAAUGUUAAAGUAUCAAGAACCUGCACUGGUCAGUGGUCCUAGGUUGUGUGUGUAAUCAUCUGGCUACUGUUUAAGUUCAGCUCACCAGUUUGAGUUCUGCCUCCAGACAACAACACUGAAUCACAGACAGUAUAUUAUUACAUUAUCACUGAUAAUUAUCACAUCAUCACUAAUAAUGUCCACACAGGAAGGCCGCCGUGCAUUUAAGCCAUAAGGGUAAUCAACUGCUGAUCACUGCCCAAUUCAGUCCUUACUGCCUUAGACUUACAGCCAUGCCUAAAACUCACAAUUUCAAAAUGUCCUGUAUAGUAUCUCUUAACCAUUAUAUUUCACUCUAAACUUCAGCAGGCUAUAUCAACAAAAUAUAUUUUGAAUGCUUUAUCACUCAUUUUGAAGUCAUUAUAAUUUAUUUAACCUUUAUUUAACUAGGAAAAGCCCAUUGAGACCCAGAGUCUCUUUUUCAAAGGAGACCUGGCCAAGAAGGCAGCAACAAUCAAUACAUGACAUAAUUAAACAUACAACAAUACAAUACAACAACACGAUCCAGCCUAAAAAAACAAACCCCAUCAGGUCAAAUAAAAAGCCUCUAGUUUCUGAGUACUGCUACAGGGUAAACGUUGGAUCACUGAAGUGAUGCUGGUGUUGUGACACCCAUUAGAAAUGUAUAAUGACCAACUGCCAUCCUGUAAACCUCAGGUUAUAAUGACUAUUAUUACAGAGUAACAGGACUAUUCAGUGGUUGCAGUCAUACAAAAGCCAUAGUACUCGACCAGAAACAGACAGACGUGCUAGUAAUGUUUAACUUUGAGUACUGUCGAUAUUGCCAAAGAAAGACCACCUUAUCAUAAGACAUAUAUGGUGGUAACUGUGUGGUGAUUAUACCUUUUUUCUGUCUGUGAACUGCUCAACAGUUCAACAAGUGAAUGUGCAACUGUUUAAUUUAACUUUAAGGUUCAAUCUUAUUGAGACAGAUCAAAUAUACAAUGCUGUUUAUUUAGAGAAAUACCGGUAGUCAAUGUAAGGUGUUUGUCCAUCUGUUUAAACUUUUUUUUAUUUCAUCUUUGGAAAGUCAAUAAAUGAAAUGACUCUAGUCCCAA